rnacentral:rRNA from 1 species
UACGAAGGGGGCUAGCGUUGUUCGGAAUCACUGGGCGUAAAGCGCACGUAGGCGGAUUGUUAAGUCGGGGGUGAAAUCCUGAGGCUCAACCUCAGAACUGCCUUCGAUACUGGCAAUCUCGAGUCCGGAAGAGGUUGGUGGAACAGCUAGUGUAGAGGAUGAAAUUCGUAGAUAUUAGCUAGAACGAACCAGUGGCGAAGGCGGCCAACUGGUCCGGUACUGACGGCUGAGGUGCGAAAGCGUGGGGGAGCAAACAGG